rnacentral:ncRNA from 1 species
CAGUUAGUUUAAUUUAAUAAAUUAUAUAUUUUAUACUAUGUUAAUUAUUUAACUUAAUGUCAUUAAAAUUUAAAUUAAAGCUAUUUAAAUAAUUAUUAAUAAGACCAACUUUUAUUUAGAUAAUUAAUAGUUUACAAAUUAUACAUUUAAUAAAGUAAAAAAAAAUAUUAAAUCUAAAUUUUAUUUUAGUUUAAAAGUUAGAAACUACAUUAAAUGUAUAUAAAUUUAAAAUUUAACAAAUCUAAAAAUUUAACAUUUAAAAUUUAAAACAUAGAGCAAUCUAUUAAAAGAAUCUGUUUUAAUUCUAACCAAUUAGGUGCCAGCAGUUGCGGUUAAUCCUAAGGUUAACUAACUAAGAGUUUAAAUAUAUUAUAUUGUGUAUAUAAGAGAAAUUAAUAAGCCAAAUUAUAAGUAAGUGAAAUUUUUAAAAUUUAUAAAAUCUUACCAAUAAAAAUUAAAGUUUCUGUUAAAAACUAGGAUUAGAUACCCUACUAUUUAGAAUAACUAAAAUUAAAGUAGUAAAAGAAGAUCUUCAAACUUAAAAAAUUUGGCGGUAGUUUAACCCAACUAGAGGAAUCUGCUCUAUAAUUGACAAUCCACAAUCUGUUAUAUUUUAUAUGGAUAUAUUUAUAUAUCGCUGUUAAACAUAAAUUAAAAAAUAGUAUUUAAAACUUGUUUAAACUCAUAAAAUCAAGUCAACACAUAAUUUUUAAAAAUGAAGUGGAUUACAUUUAAGUUAGAUUAAUAGAUUAAUUCUGUAAACAGAAUUUUUAAAAAGGAUUUAGAAGUAAAUUAAGAUAAAGUUUUUUAAUUAAAUCUGAUAUAAACUAUGUACAAAUCGCCCGUCACUCUUAUAUAAAUUAAGACAAGUCGUAACAAAGUAAGAUUACUGGAAAGUAAUAUUAGAUAAAU